rnacentral:lncRNA from 1 species
GAGGAGAGGAGAGGAGAGGAGAGGAGAGGAGAGGAGAGGAGAGGAGAGGAGACCCAUCCCCUCUCUCUCUGCUGCUGCUGGAGCUGGGCUGGAGCUGGAGCCGUCGAUGUGGCUCCCCAGAGUUAGUUGCUCAGCAACCAGAAUCAAUUAAUAUGCUUUGCAGAAAGUGCAGGGAAAGCCCGAGCUGCUGUCAGCCAGCAGGCAGGAGGCUGAGGGUGACUCAGGAUCCCACUCCUGCCUGAGACCCAUUUGGUCCCACCCCAUCUUCUCCAAACACCCCGUUCUUUUCCCCUUUCCCCUUCCCUAGGGUGCUUAAUGCGUGUGUCCCCAGAUUCUUCAGGCAGACCACCUCGUUGCUCAAGAAACCUCCUGCUUCAAGGGUUUUGCUUUUGGAGUCUGAUCUGUAUUUUUGGUUAUUUGUCAGAUUUUCUUCAACACUUUUCUAGAAAUUCUAAUAUUCAUGUUCUUUGGGAAGGGAAAGGGAUAGCUGUUGUUUUUGUCAGAUGGUUUUAAAGAUGCCUCAGGAUGAAAAGGGUUGUUUGGUAGUACACAGUUGAGCAGGCAGCAAUGAAAAUGCAUCAUGUGUAAAUUGGGAAAGUUUUUGCUUCUUCCUUUGUUACAGAUGAUCAGCACUGCAUAUAUGAGACCAAAGAGUCCCUCUGAUGACACCGCGAAUCUGGGAAUGAAGAACUUCUUAGAGCUGAUUGGAAAUGGCAUUGCAGAGCUGAAACUUAACUGGAGGAAAUAUAUCUCCUGAAGAAGAAAAUAUAAUGCACUGUAAGGAUCUGUCUUCUGGUGAAAAAUUCAAGCCUAGAGAAAACUUGUCUGCUUUGUUAGGAAGAAUGGGUUGGACAAUUUUCUUCAAUUCCAAAGGAUAUCUGAAUGCCAUGCUGAGCUUAAUCUCUGCAGCAUGCUCUGUGCUUCUCAUCUCUUCCUGAUGCACUGCAUGGUUAUUCUGAAGGGAAGGAUAAAGAAACUGGCCACCAAGAUGGUAAUCACUAGUGGAAAUGAAGAAGAUAAAGGCAGUCAAGAAAAGGAAAGCAAAGAAGAAACCAUCUUGGCAAUGCUUGGAAUUAUUGGGACAAUUCUGAACCUCAUUGUGAUCAUUUUUGUGUAUAUUUAUACAACGUUGUAAACUAGAAGGCAUGCAAAUAGACCAGAUAAAAUGGCCAUUAAGAGUGACAACAAACAUUGCUGACUAUUGACAAGUUCUUUAAUCAGAAUUGACUCUGUAUUAUAUUAACACAUCAUAAAAGCACUGCCUGAAGGCAGCGAAGACUGAAGCACAAUUAAUUUAACAAGACUUUUUCACACAGUAAUAAGCUUAACUCUUCUUCCUGCCCUCUCCCUUUCUGUUUGGUUUUCAGUUUGGGGGAGAAUGACUGCAGUUAUAUAAGUUGUAGCUUUGAAGAAAUCCACCAGGGAUAUGUUGUUUUAAAACAAUAAAAAAAAAAAAGAAAAGAAAAUAAAAUACA